rnacentral:sRNA from 1 species
AAGUGUAAUUCAAUUAAAAUCAUUAAUUCAUGACAGUGUUGUGAACACGAGUUGUAGGAAUUGGAUAAGGUUUGAUAACUCUAAUGACAACUAGAUCUAUAUCUAGUAGCUUACUUGCGUACUGGCUAUUUUUAGAAUCUAUGUGAAGGCGCAUGCGUGCACCGACAGUUCAGCUGAAUUGGCUAUACUAUUAAUAUCCAUUCUAUGCAAGUGCUUAACCAACACUUCUACAAGACUUACUAAGACCUACCAUUAUGGUCUAGGCUAAUGCAAGACCUACAUCGUACGCUUGAGAUAUUCUGGCACUUAUGCUUUUGUUAGAAGAAAUACAAAUAAAGAACAAAUAAACUAUUUUUAGCAACAGCAAGUGCAGAUUUCCAAAAGUGAUUCUUUUCACAUGUUCGGUUGGGUCACUGGCAUGGAUCAGUGCGAUCUGAUUUCCCUCACGAGGAGUCAAGGUCAAAUAAAAUGGAACUUGGCUCUUGUGAUAUAAAGGGAUAGAAAACCUUGAAGGAUUACGGGCACGACAUGGUCUAAUUUGUGCCGAUGUGCCAAAAACUCAAAACUUAAACUCAAAUAAAGGUCGAAAAUGUACAGAAAGUUCAAACUGGAAGUGACGAACCCUACAGGAGUGAGCAGCAUUUGUUCAUUGGACGUCAGGCAUGCCACUGCGCCAAUAGCGAAGAAGGCUCCAAGACUCGGAGAGAUCAGCGAGUCCAAGGAGGAUAACUGUACAGAUAGGAUGACUACUGGGUAAGUCUUUAUCUCCCCUUCUUUGUGCUUUCACCUUCUCCCAAC